rnacentral:rRNA from 1 species
CCUACGGGGGGCAGCAGUGAGGAAUAUUGGUCAAUGGACGAGAGUCUGAACCAGCCAAGUAGCGUGAAGGAUGACUGCCCUAUGGGUUGUAAACUUCUUUUAUAUGGGAAUAAAAUGUUCCACGUGUGGGAUUUUGUAUGUACCAUAUGAAUAAGGAUCGGCUAACUCCGUGCCAGCAGCCGCGGUAAUACGGAGGAUCCGAGCGUUAUCCGGAUUUAUUGGGUUUAAAGGGAGCGUAGGUGGAUUGUUAAGUCAGUUGUGAAAGUUUGCGGCUCAACAGUAAAAUUGCAGUUGAAACUGGCAGUCUUGAGUACAGUAGAGGUGGGCGGAAUUCGUGGUGUAGCGGUGAAAUGCUUAGAUAUCACGAAGAACUCCGAUUGCGAAGGCAGUUCACUGGACUGCAACUGACACUGAGGCUCGAAAGUGUGGGUAUCAAACAGGAUUAGAUACCCCUGUAGUC